rnacentral:lncRNA from 1 species
UCGGCCACCUCCUUUUCCAGCUUUGACACCUCAGGGCUCAGGACGGGCCUAGGGUGGUCAAGAGGUCCCCUGCAGCCCUCACUUCCUGGAAAAGGCUCCAUUUCCUGGCCUUCAGGCUCAGCUGCAGACCACGUGUGGACUUUGAUCUGAGGGCUUAGAGGCUUCGGCGUGCCCUGUGGGGGCACCCACCCCAUCUCAUCUCAUUGAAUGGGGCAGAGCAGGAGGAAGGACCCUCCUGGAUCAUGUGACUCCCUUCAAUCCAGGUCACAGCAGGGAAUCUUAGCCUGGUUUUGGUGUGCUGCUGGACGACCAGACCGGGCGUCGGGUGAGGCCAGAAGUGAGAGCAGUUGGCUGCGCCCCAGUGCUGUGUGACCCAGAGGCGCCGCUCACCCUCUCUGAGCUGGUGGACAUCAUAGGUGGGGAAGCUCAGGUCAGGGGCACUCCCAUGAGUGUCUGGAGGCCUGAGUCCCAUUCUCAGCUCUGCCAUAUGCUUGCUGCGCUCUAGAGGAGUUCCUCUUCCUCUCCGAGCCUCGGUUUAUGCACCUGUGCAGUGGGAGUGAGUUGCACUUCGGGGUGAAGGGGGCAAGACUUGUGUGGGCGCAUCCUGCAGAAGGAUCCCACAGGGGUGCAGCCCAGAACUGUCUUCUGAGGAAGAGGUGCUCUCCCGGGCCCUCACUGUCCCCAGGCCUCAGAAGGCAAGUGAGGUGCUGCCGUCAUCCAGGCUGGACAGUUCAGUGAUUUGCCUGAGGCCCCACAGCAGGUUCAACUGGAGACAGAGAAACCAGCUAGAGGCAGAGGGAGGUAACACUGAGUCCCCCAGAAAGGUCUGGGCUGCGCGUGCUUCAGGUAACCUCCCUUGACCUUCAGGAGAACGAGAAGGCUGCCUGAUCAGAGAGUCUCUGAAGAAGAUCCUGUGGCUACAGGUUUCAGCAGAGUGUGAGGGAGACCCCAGUUAUUUCCUCAGGUGUUUCCACCAAAUUGUUUCCACCAAAUCCUCCUGUCUUUUGUGGCCAACACCCCAGG